rnacentral:rRNA from 1 species
AACGAACGCUGGCGGCAGGCCUAACACAUGCAAGUCGAGCGAAGCCUUCGGGCUUAGCGGCGGACGGGUGAGUAACGCGUGGGAACGUGCCCUUUGGUACGGAAUAGCCCCGGGAAACUGGGAGUAAUACCGUACGUGCCCUUCGGGGGAAAGAUUUAUCGCCAAAGGAUCGGCCCGCGUUGGAUUAGGUAGUUGGUGGGGUAAUGGCCUACCAAGCCGACGAUCCAUAGCUGGUUUGAGAGGAUGAUCAGCCACACUGGGACUGAGACACGGCCCAGACUCCUACGGGAGGCAGCAGUGGGGAAUCUUAGACAAUGGGGGAAACCCUGAUCUAGCCAUGCCGCGCGAUCGAUGAAGGCCUUAGGGUUGUAAAGAUCUUUCAGUGGGGAAGAUAAUGACUGUACCCACAGAAGAAGCCCCGGCUAACUCCGUGCCAGCCGCCGCAGUAAUAC